CCUACGGGAGGCAGCAGUGGGGAAUAUUGGACAAUGGGCGCAAGCCUGAUCCAGCCAUGCCGCGUGUGUGAAGAAGGCCUUCGGGUUGUAAAGCACUUUUAGUGGGGAAGAAAGCCUUGGGGCUAAUACCCUCGAGGAAGGACAUCACCUACAGAAGAAGCACCGGCUAACUCCGUGCCAGCAGCCGCGGUAAUACGGAGGGUGCGAGCGUUAAUCGGAAUUACUGGGCGUAAAGCGCGCGUAGGCGGUCAUGUAAGCCGGUUGUGAAAGCCCCGGGCUCAACCUGGGAACGGCAUCCGGAACUGUCAGGCUAGAGUGUAGGAGAGGAAGGUAGAAUUCCCGGUGUAGCGGUGAAAUGCGUAGAGAUCUGGAGGAAUACCGGUGGCGAAGGCGGCCUUCUGGACUGACACUGACGCUGAGGUGCGAAAGCGUGGGUAGCAAACAGGAUUAGAUACCCUGGUAGUC
rnacentral:rRNA from 1 species